rnacentral:rRNA from 1 species
UACGGAGGAUGCGAGCGUUAUCCGGAUUUAUUGGGUUUAAAGGGUGCGUAGGCGGGUUAUCAAGUCAGCGGUAAAAUCGUGGAGCUCAACUCCAUCCAGCCGUUGAAACUGAUGAUCUUGAGUGGGCGAGAAGUAUGCGGAAUGCGUGGUGUAGCGGUGAAAUGCAUAGAUAUCACGCAGAACUCCGAUUGCGAAGGCAGCCUGCCGCAGCGUUACUGACGCUGAAGCUCGAAAGCGCGGGUAUCGAACAGG